AACUAAGCAACCUGUAGAGCAUCUGACUUUUAAUCAGAGGGUCGAAGGUUCGAAUCCUUCAUGGCU
rnacentral:ncRNA from 17 species